AUUUGCACUAAAAGAAUGCUCUUUAAAUGAACUUUUUUUUUUUCUCUGUUGAAUUGUUUUAAGAAAGAUACCUGUUUCUUAUAGUAAGAAGGCAUUGCAAAGUGCUAUAAUUGUUUUUCGUUUGUAAAUACACCUGCAAACAAUUGUUUUGUUAUAUUAAUAUUUCUCUGCUGAGUAACAUUUGGCCAAGACUUAACUACCACCAUUGGAUGGCAGCCUAAAUUGCGACCCCUGAGGAAGUGAAUUCAUCCUUGACAAUAGCCUCCAUAAAAUCCAUCUUACAAGUGAUAAUUUUGCACAGAUGUUUUAAAAUGAAAUGUUGAAUAAAUGGUUCCUCUUGUUUCUAGCAAGAAUGUGAGUGAGAGAGCGAGCAAGCAAGAGAAAUGACUAGUGACCAGUUGAGAAAGUCCUGUCUUCCACUGAGCCAUUUCACUCCUGCCCAUCUACUCUCAACAGCUCAAGAGCCGCUGAACCCUCGGAACUCUGUGAGGAUCAGAGGAGACAACAUGUGUGAAAACACCUUACCAAUACAAAGCUGUGCAGAUGUAAAGGAUGGUUAUUCCAGAAUGGAGGUUCUUAACUUGAGAAGGGAAGAGAGAGCUAUUAUUUAUUGAUCUCCUCAUACCUCAAAUGAUGCCAAAAAGAAGAGUGAAGGUAAGCAAUAGUCAUUAGCUCCUUUCUUUACAUGUAACCAAGAUGUGAACCAAGACAGUCUGGAUCAGUUGAACAAUUUAUCCCUAUGAGUCAAUCAAAAUCGAAUAUCACUGAGGCCAUGCUCUGGAGUGGAAAAUAUGGACUUUUAGUAUCAUAGAUACUAACCAUCAGUUAGCUACUGGUUAUUUGGAAAUUGUUGGUGUCUGUUCUUUGUCCAGACUUUGCUGCCUAUUUUGCAAUGCAUAGUUCAUGCUUGUUCUAGUUCUACCAUUCACUCCAAUUUAUGGGUCAUGUAUAAUAACAUUCAGCUGACCCUUGGUUUCCAGCAUGCUCAGGUUAACCAUAAUGAUCCCAACUUCUGUUUCAUGUUGGCUCUUGGUGUGUUUACCCAAAACACGUAGAGUUCUAUUGGAAAGAAUGUAAAGCAAAGUGUAAAAUCAUGAGAGGAGUUCAUUGCAAUAUGCUGGACUAACUUUUGGCCAAAUUUAUGUCUUGGGGGUUGAUUUGGAAACAGUGCUUUCAAUUCCCUUUUACCAUAUAUGUCAGAAGAAUUUCCUGUUAAAUAAUAUGAUGUUUUGACUUGGUUUUAAUAUGUUCUAGUACAAAUACCCAGGGACAAAUUCUUCAGCUGAAUACAUCUGAGAGAUGAAUUGUUUAAUUGAUAUGACAGUCUUUAGGCAACCUGUGAGAAAAUGAUCUGAUUGACUUCCCUCUGGGAAAACCUGCCCUUUUUUCCACCUUUCAUCAUGGUUAAGCAAACAGACAGACAAACAAACAAAACAUAAAUCUAGGAAGUUGUGAUGAAAAAGGAGUUGUUGGCAACAUGUAGGCAGAGGCCAAAAAUAAACAGAGCUGAUUGGAAAGUGACUUUCUUUCUGGGGACGGAGUGUGAGGCCUUUUUUUAGUUGGAAGAUGGAGGAAUCUCAUUGUCUUGGGGAAAAGAGAAAGUUUGAGCAGGAUCAAGAGCAGAGGUCAUAGAGAUGCAAAGAAAGGAAGGUAGGAAAUUUGUUAAAGUUUUGUCUGUUCAAUAACUAUCCAGUAGCUACAGACAUCCUUUGUCUCCUCUUAAUGAGUGCAAACCAAGCUUAAAUCCUUGUUGAGCCAGAGAGAACUAGAGUAGACAGGAUGGUGGAAAGAUAAAAGGUGGCCUGGAUGUACAGGAGAUGGGAUGGCGAUGCAAAGAACCCAAAAAAUAGGGCCAGAUUUAAUAACUAGUUAAUGAGCAUAAUUCAAACAAAUUGACCAGAAGAGAAGACCCUGGAUGCACUAGGCAUGACCUUCCAAGGGUAGAAGGAAAUGAGCAGAGAAGACAUUAGUUGUCAAGAUGAAGCACCAGAGAGAGCUCUGGUGGUGAGCCACCAAGUUAAUGCCAGGAAAGCCUGAAGAUAGUAUUCUUUGGGAUGCAGAUUAGGGAUUGGUUUUUCCAGGGGCCAGAUAUCAGAGUUGAACCUAAAUUAAAAAUGAAUGAAACAUAUAUUGGUUAAUUGCUAUGUGCCCAUCACUGUGCUGGGUAUUGAAGAUAGGAUGGAGGUGGGGGGGUGGUGGGCAAGACAACCUAACUCCCGCCCUCCUGGGGCUUACAAUUCAGAAGGAGGAAGAGCAAAUUACAAAGUUGUAGGCCAGGUGCAGUGGCUCAUGCUUGUAAUCUCAGUGCCUUAGGAGGUCGAGGCAGGAAAAUCACCUGAGGCCAGGAAUUUGAGACCAGUCUAGGCAACAUAGCAAGACAUUGUCUGUACAAAAAAUAAAUACAUAAAAUAAAAACUUAACUGGGUAUGGUAGCAAGGGCCUGUAGUCCCAGCCACCUGGGAGGCUGAAGCCAGAAGAUUGCUUAAGCCCAGGGAUUUGAGGCUGCUGUGAGCUAUGAUUACAUCACUGAAUUCCAGUCUGGGCAACAGAGUGAGAGACCAUCUCUAAGAUUAAUAAUAAUAAAUAAAUAAAUAAAUAAAAAGUUGCAAGUGCUAAGUGGUACAGGGUGUCAUAGCAACACAUAGGCCAUACCUGACCCAGUAGAUGGGCGUGAGGUUAGGGGAGUCUUUCUGGAGGAAGUUAUGUCUAAGUUGAGACCUGAAGGACAAGUUGGAGUUAGGCAAUCAAGGAACAAGGAAGAACAUUCCAGGCCAAGUGAGUAGGAUAUGGGAAGGCCUGGGGGAUAGGCGAGAAAGAGCUUCAGAGUUAAGGAUUCAGAAAUCUGAAAGUAGGUUAACACCACACUCCAGGCACUUUUUACAGGUAGUGACUUUGCAUGAGUUUGAGUCUGUAGAAAAAAAUUUGAGUCUUGACAAGGUCACCAGGUGGAGAACAUUUCUUGAUAUUUGUUCCUUGGGAUGCAAGGGGUGGGGCAAUACAACGGCACUGAGGGGGUCCCCAGGACUUUGGUGGAGAACCCAGCAAGCCUAUUGGCAGGGAGUUCAGCAGGACAGUGGAGCAGGUUUUGUGCGAUUCUCUGGAUGCUUGGGCCAUGGCCAGUAGACCACAUGCUGCCAAGUUCAGAAGAAAAGAAUCAUACUUCAUAGGAAAGUGAAUCUUGCAUGUGGCCAGAAAAAGGAAAGACAAUUUAGUUUUAUAUGUUACAUUUUAAUAAUAGUCAUUUGUAACUGCAAAAUGAAAUCUGUGAAAAAAAAAGUUCAUUUCCAGAAGAAUAAUCUCUAACUGAUAUGCAAUGCCGCAGUAGGAUUUGUCCAGGUUUUAAUUAAUUUGAAUAAAUAAUGUAAGAUACUAGCCUGGGUGAGAUAAAAGGAAAUCUCUCUGCUUUCAUCUCUCCAUGAUGGAAAUAAUAACUACUUUAUUUCAAAACAAGUUUCCAAUUAGUUUCUGUGAAAUAUUAUUAUCCCCCUUUCCCAGAUACUGUAGCUCAUUUUGAAACUUAAUUUUGAUAAUAUAUAAACAUUUCUGAAACUUACUCUACAGGAAUGACAGUUAUAUUUGAAGGGAAGAAUGCUGCUGGGCUCUAACUGUAUUAUUUGGAAUAGUUCUAAAUAAUGGUAAAAAUAAUAAAUGGGAAUCAGUCAAAGUGCAAUCUCAUUUCAUGGGUAUUUAUGACCUAGUAAGGACUUGUCUUCACCCAAGAGCACAGAUGAAGGAAGGCCACUUUCUCCAAAGUUAUUCAGUGGAGUUUUUUCCUUUCAGCACUAGUUAUGCUUUACUUAAGAAUGUAUAUCAUCUUGUUCUUAUUUACAGAGAUGGUCUUAUUUAAAUAAUUGGUGAAUUAAGCAUAAUGGAACACCUACUGUGUUCCAGACACAGGGCCUGGGACUUGUGUGCUGGGAUUUGCAUGGUCAAAUAGGUAGAUGUGUCCUCUGUCUUUGGGGGAUUUAUAAUCUAGAGGAGAGGGGCAGGAGUUAAACAAUUUCUCUGUCUCUGUCUCUCUUUCUCCCUGCCACCCCCCACUGCCCACUGCCCGCACCCCCCACACACAGUGAUAGAAAUAAGAGGUCUAUGGUGACUUGAGAACACAUAAUAGGAAGAGUCAGACUAACCAGACUGAUUACCCUGGGCAGGGAAAGGCUUUGGUAUGAUUCAUUUG
rnacentral:lncRNA from 1 species